GAACAAGUCGACCUCCAUGGCUGCCAAGGCCGCCCCUCUUGGUUUACCAAAGUCCGGUGCAAUUUCCAAGGGCUACAAUUUUGCUUCUACCUGGGAACAGAAUGCUCCUCUAACGGAGCAACAGCAAGCGGCUAUUGCGACACUCUGUCAUGCCGUUGCUGAGCGACCAUUUCCUGUUGAUUUGGCACAAGACAGGAUAGGAGGUAAAGAAAAUGCCUUGUCUAUUU
rnacentral:misc_RNA from 1 species